UUUGCAGAGAAGAGAGAGAGCGUGCGAGAAAGAGAGACGAGCGACGCCAGUGGUUCCGGCGCCACCUUCCACCGACGACUAUUCCGGCGACGCAACCUCACUUUUUGUUAAACUACAGUUGUAGAGGAGUGACGGCGGCGGUGCUAGGGAUUGACGCAGAGAGGACGGUGGUGAUGUUAUUGGGCCAUCAAGCGGCGGCGGUGUUGUUCUCACAACCAAAGUUGUUGUUUCGAUAACACAUAAAUUACUUUUCAAUUUGAUUACAUUCUCUCUUUUUCAAACCCUGUACAAAAUGUAUGAUGGUGGUGUCGACAACGGUUGUGUCGGCGAAGGGAAACAUCGGCGGUAGAUGGUGUAUUGGAAGACUAUUGGAGAUUAGGGCUCAUUUGAUCUGAAUGGAGGGAGGUAGCUUCUGUUUUACACUUUUCUGGUUUGUCUAAGUCAAAAGAGCAGAGGUUUGGAAUGGUAUUUUUUAGUGUCCUUGACAAGAAGUAUGGGAAUGGAGGUAUUGGAAGACUACUGGAAAGGAUUGAGUGGUUCACCAUAGGUCUCGAUAGGUUGGGAAGAAGAAAAGUUUAGUGUAUGAUAGCGGUUGUGCCCCAAAAAGUGAGAGGACAAACUGGGAUAUGCAUGAAUACUGGCUCAUCGAUCAGGAGCUUCAAAAUACUGGAAUUAUGCAGUUUUGUCAUUUGUCGUUGUCUAUUUUCUUUUGGAAUACAAUUUGUUAUGAUCUCAUUUGCAAUCAUCUGGGUUCAAUGAAAGAGAUUAAAGGUGGGUUCAGUUGCUGUUGAAAUAAAUAUGCAGACGGCAGGUGAAUUAGAAAAAGAUGCCAAAAAGCCAUGGCGAAAAUUAUCCUUCCCUCACAGGACCUCUGCCAGACUUGACUUAAUGGGCUGCUGCUAUCCCUUGUAGAUUAAGCUUUGCAUUUUUCGGAUGUUAAAGCCUCCGUUGUGUACAUGUUCUAUUUGUUUUAACACGCCGCAACGCGACGGCAAGAAUACUAGUUUUUUAAAAAAGUUAACGAGUAUAAAGUAAUUACCGAAAAAUCAAAUGAGGUG
rnacentral:lncRNA from 1 species